rnacentral:rRNA from 1 species
GACAUAGGCGGCGAACGUUAUCCGGAAUUACUGGGCGUAAAGGGUGCGUAGAUUGUGAGAUAAGUUAUCAGUGGGAAAUCGAAGCUCAACUUCGUGGAAAUUGAUAAUACUGUCACACUAGAGAGUAGAAGGGGUUAAUGGAAUUUCAUGUGUAUGCAGUAAAAUGUUAAGAGAUAUGAAAGAACACCAAAAUGGGCGAAGGCAAUUAACUAUUCUACUUCUGACAUUGAGGCACGAAAGCGUGGGAAGCAAAGCGG